UACGUAGGGUGCAAGCGUUAAUCGGAAUUACUGGGCGUAAAGUGUGCGCAGGCGGCUUUGCAAGACAGAUGUGAAAUCCCCGGGCUUAACCUGGGAACUGCAUUUGUGACUGCAUGGCUGGAGUGCGGCAGAGGGGGAUGGAAUUCCGCGUGUAGCAGUGAAAUGCGUAGAUAUGCGGAGGAACACCGAUGGCGAAGGCGGCCCCCUGGGUCGACACUGACGCUCAGGCACGAAAGCGUGGGGAGCAAACAGG
rnacentral:rRNA from 1 species